GACAGAGGAUGCAAGCGUUAUCCGGAAUGAUUGGGCGUAAAGCGUCUGUAGGUGGCUUUUCAAGUCCGCCGUCAAAUCCCAGGGCUCAACCCUGGACAGGCGGUGGAAACUACCAAGCUGGAGUACGGUAGGGGCAGAGGGAAUUUCCGGUGGAGCGGUGAAAUGCAUUGAGAUCGGAAAGAACACCAACGGCGAAAGCACGCUGCUGGGCAGUCACUGACACUGAGAGACGAAAGCUAGGGGAGCGAAUGGG
rnacentral:rRNA from 1 species